UCCCUUUCAGGGUCGCACCUGGAGAGUUUCCAGUACUCUACCAGUCUCGACUUUGGAAGGAAGAGUCAAGCGGAGGAAUAUCCAUUCCAUUCUUAGCUUGAGCAGUGGCUAUCGAGUGGAAGGCAAUCUGCUAUGAGU